rnacentral:tRNA from 1 species
GGAGCUUUGGCCGAGAGGUUUAAGGCACUCGCUUGGAAAGCGGGCGCACCUCGAAAGGGGUGCCAUGGGUUCGAAUCCCAUAGGCUCCG